rnacentral:rRNA from 1 species
UGGGGAAUUUUGGACAAUGGGGGCAACCCUGAUCCAGCAAUGCCGCGUGUGUGAAGAAGGCCUUCGGGUUGUAAAGCACUUUUGUCCGGGAAGAAAUCGCACCUGAUAAUACCGGGUGUGGAUGACGGUACCGGAAGAAUAAGGACCGGCUAACUACGUGCCAGCAGCCGCGGUAAUACGUAGGGUCCAAGCGUUAAUCGGAAUUACUGGGCGUAAAGCGUGCGCAGGCAGUUGUGCAAGACCGAUGUGAAAUCCCCGGGCUUAACCUGGGAAUUGCAUUGGUGACUGCAAGGCUAGAGUGUGUCAGAGGGGGGUAGAAUUCCACGUGUAGCAGUGAAAUGCGUAGAGAUGUGGAGGAAUACCGAUGGCGAAGGCAGCCCCCUGGGAUAACACUGACGCUCAUGCACGAAAGCGUGGGGAGCAAACAGG